UCUAUUAUAGUGAAUAUUCCUUUGGGACCAACUAGGCCAUCUAGUCCAUCGAAGCUUAAUUGGCUUGAAAAUUUGGCAACACAAAUUAUCCUCACAUCGUAGUCUGGUCAUUGUUUUUUUUUAUCUACUGAUUUCAGAGUUACCAAUCGGAAACUUCAGCUCAAAAAUAAAAGUAAUUGCGGUAACAGCACCUGCGAUAACGGAUUGAUUAAUCGAAUCGUUGGUAAGAUAGCAAUUAACUAUUGACGCCUAAUCACAGUCAGACUUUGUGUCAGCCGUCAUUCAGUCGUCAAUUUCUUGUAAACAGUAUCCAACUAACGGUAAGCUUCCGUUCGCAAAUCUACUAUCAUCACAUUGACCAACCAAAAUUAAGUUAUCUAUAAAAUCAACCAACUCCUCAAAAUGCAGACUAUUAAUAUCACCUCAGCGCUGCUUUAUGCCCUCCUCGUGUUCACCCUUUUGGGCCCUGAUUACCACGGGGCAAAUGCAGGAAGGGUUUACACCAGAAGUUGGAUGGACAACUUCUCCGAUGGCGAGCUGAGUAACUUCAUGCAGUGCAUUAACGACUGCCAGCCAUGGCGAUUCUCCGAUUUCGGAAGCAACAACUAUUACGACAUGAUAAACAUGGGUAGAAUAUGUGGUUGUCUCACUUGGUAAACAAAUUCUUUGAAGAAAAGCGACGGCCAAUCGACUGCAGCGCAACCAAUUAUUCCGAAACCAAACGUGAACAAAAAACCCAUCCAAAGUCUUAUCCUUGUUUUCAAUUGUCAUCACCGUUAUCGUCUCUAACAUAGCAAAUUCAAU